rnacentral:rRNA from 1 species
AUUGAACGCUGGCGGCAUGCCUUACACAUGCAAGUCGAACGGUAACAGGUCUUCGGAUGCUGACGAGUGGCGAACGGGUGAGUAAUACAUCGGAACGUGCCCGAUCGUGGGGGAUAACGAAGCGAAAGCUUUGCUAAUACCGCAUACGAUCUACGGAUGACAGCGGGGGAUCUUCGGACCUCGCGCGGACGGAGCGGCCGAUGGCAGAUUAGGUAGUUGGUGGGAUAAAAGCUUACCAAGCCGACGAUCUGUAGCUGGUCUGAGAGGAUGAUCAGCCACACUGGGACUGAGACACGGCCCAGACUCCUACGGGAGGCAGCAGUGGGGAAUUUUGGACAAUGGGCGCAAGCCUGAUCCAGCCAUGCCGCGUGCAGGAUGAAGGCCUUCGGGUUGUAAACUGCUUUUGUACGGAACGAAAAGGUGCCUUCUAAUAAAGGGCGCUCAUGACGGUACCGUAAGAAUAAGCACCGGCUAACUACGUG